ensembl:lncRNA
CGGCUGCCUGCAGUCAGCCAGUGACUCAGUGCAAUGUGAAUGCUGUGAUGGGCUCAGGAUGGAGGUGGCAGACGCCCAUGGCACAGCAACCUCUACUCAUUAUCAGCAGUGCUUUAAGUACACACGUAGCAGUGAUACCUCUUUGUUUAAACAAUUAACUUUAGACAAUAACAAUCUAAAAUGCGUGCUUUUGUAUUAUGAUAUAAGCCCAUCAAAAAGUAUCAGAAUUGCACUUUGCAGAGCCACUUGGGAUUGAAUCCGCCCCUUAAAACAGAGCUGGCUGUCAGCUAACUCUGCAGCAUGAGUUUUUCACUGGCUUCUCCAGCAUACCUCAGUGGGGGUGUAAGCUGCUUUAGAAAAGACUUUCUUCUUGGAGACAAGAGAAGCUCACAGACAAGCUAUCUGUUAGGAAGAAAUCCCAGCGGGACUCCAUUUCUGCCCUGUGGGAUCCUGCACCAAUCCUCGUGAGAAAGGAGGCUUCAAGUCUGAAGUUGCUCAAAUGCAAAGUUCCAUUUCAAAUACACAUUGUAAUGAUGGUUUCCAGUGAGGUGUUGGAGAAUGCAAAUGCCUUUUGCCCACUAACUUGCUGAAAGGUUUCCCGAAAGCAACACAGCUGGAGCCAGCACUGCAGGAAGAAUUCCCCAGGUUGGGGCUACUUGGAUCUUUCACAUUCCAGGGGAAUUUUUGAGGACCAGCCAAGUUACCACCGCUCCUCUUGUUACCAGCAAUACAUCGCCUCCUUUUAUGUUCUGUACUUUGAAGAUUCAUCCUUCAAGCUUCAGUGCAUGCCUCUUUGCUCAUGCAACCAGCCUUCCUCCUUCCUCCACAGAAAAAGUUCUGCUUACAGUCUGGUUGAUAAUCAUCACAGAAUCACAGAAUGGCCUGGGUUGAAAAGGACCACAAUGAUCAUCGAGUUCCAACCCCCCUGCUAUGUGCAGGGUCACCAACCAGCAGACCAGGCUGCCCAGAGCCACAUCCAGCCUGGCCUUGAAUGCCUCCAGGGAUGGGGCAUCCACAGCCUCCUUGGGCCACCUGUUCCAGUGUGUCACCACCCUCUGUGUGAAAAACUUCUAAUAUCCAACCUAAAUCUCCCCUGUCUUAGUUUAAAUCCAUCCCCCUUGUCCUAUCACUAUCCACCC